GCCUACGGGGGGCAGCAGUAGGGAAUCUUCCACAAUGGACGAAAGUCUGAUGGAGCAACGCCGCGUGAGUGAAGAAGGGUUUCGGCUCGUAAAGCUCUGUUGGUAGUGAAGAAAGAUAGAGGUAGUAACUGGCCUUUAUUUGACGGUAAUUACUUAGAAAGUCACGGCUAACUACGUGCCAGCAGCCGCGGUAAUACGUAGGUGGCAAGCGUUGUCCGGAUUUAUUGGGCGUAAAGUGAGUGGAGGUGGUUUAAUAAAUUU
rnacentral:rRNA from 1 species